AAGUUGACUCUCCAAGCCAAACGGAGCAGAUCUAGGCUCUCUCGAUUGUUUCAAUAAAAAACGGUCCGACUUGCGACCUGUUCGUUAAAAUUGAUAUAGACAAAUUUAUAGAAAAAGAAGAAAAAAGGGAUAUGAAGGGGUACUACUGGUGGAAGCGGCUGGUUGCAACGGAUAUAGGAGGUAGGUAAUGGACUUACUAACGGCAAUACACGAGAAACGCUUCAGUUAGUUGAUCAUUUUCUCCCUUCGCCUAUAUCGAAAACGCUCAUUUCAACCAAUAGGAUUGCUCCAUACUCCAUUUUUCUUUUUUGUCUAUCGCUUUGUCUAUCAAUUCAGAAAAUCAGAAUUACGGUUGGUUUAGAUCAAACGGCUACACAUUAAGUUAAGAGAAUAUGUUGUCGUGGUUAAAUCUGCAUUUUUGGCUUAAAUAGUUUCAGAGGAAAAAUCCACGAGACUUUCAUUUAGUCAAAUAUUUUUAGGCUCACUAGUUUCCCAAUGAUUUUAUCGACACAGAGUCCAUUCUGCGCAUCUUUCGCCCGACCUUCCUUUAUUUUUAUCCUGUGGAGAGACGAUUUCCCAGUAUUUUUCCGCCUAAUGCAUCAAGCUAGGAUCCUUCAAUUUUUCCAAGAAACAGAUUCUCGGGAGAAUUGCGUCACGGCAUUUUGAAUACGCAUCGAGAGUUUCUUUUUUGUUCGUGGUACUUAUAAAUAGAGGGCUUUCUGAAGAUUUUAUUCAAUCCUUUGUUGUCCUCGAAGCUGUGUUCAUUGAAAUAUUUUCAGAGGCUACGUGUUUUUUUGAGAUCCAUUGGAGCGACCAACUAAAAAGGAUUUAGGACCGCCGAAGGGCAGUAUGUUCCUACCAGUGGCGUCCAGACUCCUUCUGGGACUCCUCUGUUUCAACGAAUUUUUCCGACCGGAAGUAACCGCGGCUAGUUACCUCUGUCGGAAAAUGCCUGGCCUCUUGCGAGGUACAAUAGUCGAGACUCAACCGUUUUUAUUAAGUCCUAAAGGCAAGAAGCAGCAGUAUAAAUCGUGGUGCGGCCAACAAAGCGGCCAGUUCCUUGCAGUGCAAACGGACCAACUUUUCCAUUUAACAUGUGCUGGUGCCAAACAUCUAAAGGAGGCCAGGGGAGCAAUCCUCGACAAUGCCGAUCAAGGGGCAAGAGAGCUCACAUUCGAGGAAAAUGAAGUAUGUAACACCCGUAAAGUUACUCUCGUAUCCAAUGAUAAUGCGGCAAUCCUAGCUCGUAAACUUGACAACGUUGAGGUGCCUUUUGACCAUGCGGUUCACUACGCCUUCAUGAACUCUCCAAACGCGGCUGCCAUGUACUCCCGGAAUCGUCAACAGGCGCUUUUUCACUUGUACUUCAAUAUGGCAGGUACUUUUAGUAUGAUGAUACUAUGGGUAGUUUUAUACAUCGUGGAGAUGAUAUCUGCACCAAGACUCCUGGAUCAUAGACGCAGCCACUUCACAUUUGUUAUUAGUAAGUUCAUUGGAAUGGGACAUCCGUUUUACUUCUGCGCAGUGAAGUCUGCAAGACAAUUCAUUGGUCCUUUCCUGUUCUUCAGUGUCUGCCUCACGGCUGCAUGUUUAGGAAACUGUUCCGUGGCUGCAACCUGGUGCGAGAAUGUACGCUCUGCAGCCUUCUCGGCUCAGCUCAAUUUUCCCCUAACGAGGAAGGACCUUGCAUUCAUUAUCAGAAGGACGUAUAACCAAGAGAAGUUCUCCGCUGUGCUCACCACAUCUUUAACAUUUCACAGUGUUUUUAAGAUGCUUCAACUACUCUGGAACUAUUUCACCCUGUGCAGCAGGCAGAGGAUAGCCGCACACCUUGGACGCUAGGUUACGUUGUUCCUACAAGAAAAUUUUCCACUUUACUCGUGACAAAUCACGCAAAAUAGACAAAAGACAGAAAACUCGACUUUCCUGAUUAUUUGGAAAAUAUUGCGAUCAAUGGUUGAUGUAAUUCACGAUAAUUUAGAAAUAAAAGGCCAGACUAGUUUUAUUCACCACUUGCGCUUCUCCUUACAAUGCCUGCUAUCAUGAUGUUCAAAUGCUUACGAUUUCAAACCAAAUGAACAUUUUAGAAUCUUUUUUUUUUUUCUAAGAAAAUGUUAGCCUAAUCGAUACACACUAGAAUACUGCCAUGCUAAGUAAAAACGCCGUAUGAACCCUCAGGCGUUGCCAAAUUUCCAUUGGAAAAUCACGAAUUUUCGGGAGAGUUUGUUAAUAUUUCUCUUCCAAUUUUCCAGGCAAUUUUGUUCUCAAUUUUAUCUAAA
rnacentral:lncRNA from 1 species